rnacentral:rRNA from 1 species
CCUACGGGGGGCAGCAGUGGGGAAUAUUGCACAAUGGGCGCAAGCCUGAUGCAGCGACGCCGCGUGAGCGAUGAAGGCCUUCGUGUCGUAAAGCUCUGUCCUAAGGGAAGAAUAAUGACGGUACCUUAGGAGGAAGCCCCGGCGAACUACGUGCCAGCAGCCGCGGUAAUACGUAGGGGGCGAGCGUUAUCCGGAAUCAGUGGGCGGAAAGGUUGCGAAGGCGGCCAUGCAAGUCAGGAGUUAAAUCGCACGGGCUAAACGAGGUAAGGUCUUGAAACUGGAGGGAUCGGGUGCAGACGAGGAGAGCGGAAUUACUAGUGUAGCGGUGAAAUGCGUAGAUAUUAGGAGGAACAGCAGUGGCGAAGGCGGCUCUUUGGACUGCAACUGACGCUGAGGCACGAAAGCGUGGGGAGCGAACAGGAUUAGAGACCCUGGUAGUC